UACGAAGGGUGCAAGCGUUGCUCGGAAUUAUUGGGCGUAAAGGGUAGGUAGGUGUUUACGUAUGUCUGAGGUGAAAUCCCUGAGCUUAACUCAGGAAGUGCCUUGGAAACGGCGUAACUAGAGUGCUAGAGAGGUUCGUGGAAUUCCCAGUGUAGCGGUGAAAUGCGUAGAGAUUGGGAGGAACACCAGAGGCGAAGGCGGCGAACUGGAUAGCAACUGGCACUGAACUACGAAAGCGUGGGUAGCAAACAGG
rnacentral:misc_RNA from 1 species